GUAACACGUGGGUAACCUACCUACAAGCGGGGGAUAACAUUCGGAAACGGAUGCUAAUACCGCAUAGAUCUUUUUGUCUCCUGGCAGAAAGAAGAAAGACGGUUUCGGCUGUCACUUGUAGAUGGACCCGCGGCGCAUUAGUUAGUUGGUGAGGUAAUGGCUCACCAAGACGAUGAUGCGUAGCCGACCUGAGAGGGUGAUCGGCCACACUGGGACUGAGACACGGCCCAGACUCCUACGGGAGGCAGCAGUAGGGAAUCUUCCGCAAUGGACGAAAGUCUGACGGAGCAACGCCGCGUGAGUGAAGAAGGUUUUCGGAUCGUAAAACUCUGUUGUUAGAGAAGAACAAGGAUGAGAGUAACUGCUCGUCCCUUGACGGUAUCUAACCAGAAAGCCAUGGCUAACUACGUGCCAGCAGCCGCGGUAAUACGUAGAUGGCAAGCGUUGUCCGGAUUUAUUGGGCGUAAAGCGAGCGCAGGCGGUUCUUUAAGUCUGAUGUGAAAGCCCCUGGCUCAACCAGGGAGGGUCAUUGGAAACUGGAGAACUUGAGUGCAGAAGAGGAAAGUGGAAUUCCAUGUGUAGCGGUGAAAUGCGUAGAUAUAUGGAGGAACACCAGUGGCGAAGGCGACUUUCUGGUCUGUAACUGACGCUGAGGCU
rnacentral:rRNA from 1 species